UACGGAGGGAGCUAGCGUUGUUCGGAAUUACUGGGCGUAAAGCGCACGUAGGCGGCUUUGUAAGUUAGAGGUGAAAGCCCGGGGCUCAACUCCGGAACUGCCUUUAAAACUGCAUCGCUUGAAUCCAGGAGAGGUGAGUGGAACUGCGAGUGUAGAGGUGAAAUUCGUAGAUAUUCGCAAGAACACCAGUGGCGAAGGCGGCUCACUGGCCCGGUACUGACGCUGAGGUGCGAAAGCGUGGGGAGCAAACAGG
rnacentral:rRNA from 1 species